rnacentral:lncRNA from 1 species
AUUUCAUUGGCAUUUUUUUGAAGAUUUCUAUUUGUCCAUGCAUACAUUUGACUAUACAUUGACUAUACUUACUUAUACAGUAAGUAAAGCCAUACCUACAGCUUGUGUCCAAGUCCUGAUCAGUUCUCUAAUGCAUCUGCAGUCUAAGAAAGCUCCAGAGACCAAUCUUUUGGACAUAAAAUGGAGUUGUAAGAUUAGAAGCCUUCUACUCUGAGUGUUUGAUAUUCCUGGGGGACAAAGCAUCCUGAAUUUUAGACCACUUGUGCAUUUUAUUUAGUGAUUCUUAAUGCUGAAGGAUUAAUAGGCCAUCCCCAAAAGAACAAUUGAACCUGAUUCACCCUUCCUGUCUGAGAACAGCUUAAUGUCUGGAAAUCUUCAAUUUUCUCUUGUACAUCUGCUGGCUGCUUGGCUUAUAUAUCCUUAUGUAGCCUUUCUGCUUUAGAUAUCCUUACACAUCCUUUCUGCCUCGUGCUACAGUCUCACCUAUAAGGAUGCAGAAAGAUCUCUCAUGUGGGUUGCUGCUGUUCAAAUAAGCCACGAUUUUGUGGACAGAACAUCUUUCCUAAGGCCUGAGUUAUUCCUUUAUAUGGAGCUACUGCACACUGGAAUCAGCUGCUGUCAGCAAAAACAGCCUAUCUGAAAACCUACAAAGCUCCACAAGCCUUAACAGCUUAACAGACCACUACAGAACAGAGGUGUGAAGUUUACUGAAGUCCAAUUGAUUAAAGUCACAUGCCAGUCUUAGCUGGAAAGCAAAGAAAAGAGAUUCAAACAAUUUCAGAGGAUGUAACUAAACCACAUGUGGUUUACCAUUGAUCUUUACCAUAAAUCAGAAGAAUGAUGAAAACUGUGGAAAAAGGUAAUGAGAAUAAAGAAAAACUACUGUUUGCUCCCACAAAAGCACCAAGAAGUCUCAGCAUAUGGACUUCAUGCAAGGUAGUUUUCUCCUUUCUUUCCCUUGGGAUGAUUUCUGUAUUACACAGGAGGGGAAGAUUGGAGAGAUCAUAUUUUCUCUCAUCAACAUUUGUUUCAAUUCUCCAAUUCCAUUCCCAAUUGCUCUUCUCCCUGACUGAUGCAUAACAUCACAGCUGACAAGAUAGAAACAAUUUCCUCAUGGAAAAAAUUCAUGAAACCUACAUCUCCUCCUGUAGGUCUGUAGGUGUUCUCUUUUCUCUUCCUACAUACACUAUGGAAACCAUCAUUCUAUUUAACACUUAAUAUUGAAUCAAAGCCCAGAGAUUUUAAAACUUUAAACUACUGUGCACCAUCUACAGACAGACCCUUUGAAACUGUAUGGGAUUCAGAUGGAACUGUAAACAAUAUGUGAAAUAUUUUCCAAGACAGAGAAAUCCUAUUAUUAAAUUUAGAGCUAAUCAAAUAUCAUAUGUCAGUAUGAAACAAUCAAGACAGCACCUUACAGGCAUCUGCCAGUUUGCUUUAAAUAUCUGAUCACAGCAAAGGCCAGCACAAUUGAUGGGAUAGUUAUCUGCUACUGAACUUUAGUGCACAGAAAUAAAUUCAUUUUCAUCCAACA